GCGAAUACCGGAGAAUGUUAUCACGGGAGACACACGGCGGGUGCUAACGUCCGUCGUGAAGAGGGAAACAACCCAGACCGCCAGCUAAGGUCCCAAAGUCAUGGUUAAGUGGGAAACGAUGUGGGAAGGCCCAGACAGCCAGGAUGUUGGCUUAGAAGCAGCCAUCAUUUAAAGAAAGCGUAAUAGCUCACUGGUCGAGUCGGCCUGCGCGGAAGAUGUAACGGGGCUAAACCAUGCACCGAAGCUGCGGCAGCGACACUGAUGUGUUGUUGGGUAGGGGAGCGUUCUGUAAGCCGUUGAAGGUGGCCUGUGAGGGUUGCUGGAGGUAUCAGAAGUGCGAAUGCUGACAUAAGUAACGAUAAAGCGGGUGAAAAGCCCGCUCGCCGGAAGACCAAGGGUUCCUGUCCAACGUUAAUCGGGGCAGGGUGAGUCGACCCCUAAGGCGAGGCCGAAAGGCGUAGUCGAUGGGAAACGGGUUAAUAUUCCCGUACUUGGUGUUACUGCGAAGGGGGGACGGAGAAGGCUAUGUUGGCCGGGCGACGGUUGUCCCGGUUUAAGCGUGUAGGUGUGUGUUCCAGGUAAAUCCGGUU
rnacentral:rRNA from 1 species